CCCUUAGAGUUUGAUCCUGGCUCAGAAUGAACGUUGGCGGCGUGGAUUAGGCAUGCAAGUCGCGCGAUUUCCUUCGGGGAAGAGCGGCGGAAGGGAGAGUAACGCGUAGAUACCUACCCUCGGGACCGGAAUAGCGACGGGAAACUGUCGGUAAUGCCGGAUAACGUCCCUGGACCAAAGGUGUGAAUCCGCCUGAGGAGGGGUCUGCGUCCUAUUAGCUAGUCGGCGGGGUAACGGCCCACCGAGGCGAAGAUGGGUACCGGGCGUGAGAGCGUGACCCGGCUCACUGGGACUGAGACACUGCCCAGACACCUACGGGUGGCUGCAGUCGAGAAUCUUCGGCAAUGAGCGCAAGCUUGACCGAGCGACGCCGCGUGCGGGAUGAAGGCUUUCGGGUUGUAAACCGCUGUCAGUGGGGAGGAAAUUCAUGGGGGAACUCCCCCUUGAUUGACCGAUCCGCAGAGGAAGGACGGGCUAAGUUCGUGCCAGCAGCCGCGGUAAGACGAACCGUCCGAACGUUAUUCGGAAUCACUGGGCUUAAAGAGUGCGAAGGCGGCUUAUCAGGCGGGGUGUGAAAUCCCUCGGCCCAACCGAGGAAUAGCGCUCCGAACCGAUAGGCUUGAGGAGGAUAGAGGUAAGCGGAACAGAUGGUGGAGCGGUGAAAUGCGUUGAUAUCAUCUGGAACACCUGUGGCGAAAGCGGCUUACUGGGUCCUUUCUGACGCUGAGCACGAAAGCCAGGGUAGCGAACGGGAUAGAUACCC
rnacentral:rRNA from 1 species